CGAAGUAAAUGAUUUUCUAAAGGUCAGUCUCCCUGAAAGCAUUUGGGCGCUCCCUCUCUCUCUCUCUCUCUCUCUCUCUCUCUCCUUUUUUAAUAUUGUGUUUUUCCAGUUGGAAAAGGAAGACAAGACUAAGAGAGUUGAACCGGGGUAGGUAGGGACAUUGUAAAUUAUGGUUUAGAGAGGUCGUGAGACUGAGUCGCUGAAAGUAUGUUUCCUCACUAUAAUAGUGAGCUGUGAACCUGUGUAUUGUAGGGAGAGAAGGGGACAGACCCUGGCAAUGAGGGGGAGGAGGUCGCGGAAUCGAGGAAGUCGAAGAGAGUUCUUUUUUUAAUUUUUUUUCCGUUCUUCGUUGUAAAUUGCUGCUAAACACUUCUGACUUUUAAAUUGCUACUAAGACGGUCCAUAAACCGUUCUCAUCCAAUUUAGUCACUUUUAUUACAUUCCUCUUUGCUUCCCCCAAUCACUGUGGCGGUUCCCAGUUUCGAUGUGGCCACAAUCGGAACCAGUGAAGGUAGAAAACUCUGGAACAGAGAUCGGCAACCGGAGCAGGAUUCAGGGGCUUUAAAUUUUAACCUGAGUUCGAUCGAAUGGGACUGGCAGAAGAGCUGACCUGGCGUCCGCCUGCCACUUAACUCCGACCAGGGCUGAAAGCUACUUUCUUUUGGGUUUUUUCGUGAGUUUCCGACCAAGUUUUUAACAGACUCAGUUUUUUCAGAAGCUCAUUUGUAAGCAGUUACAGAAACGUUGUGGACACUUGAUUUUCUUCGGGGCCAACUGUUGUCAAGUGCUUCUCAGUUUUACUCUUAAAAGCAAAGGUUGUUGGUUUUUUUGUUUUUUUGUUUUUUUUUCUUAAUUCAUAUCUCAGUGAGGUGAUUUCUAAUGCGGACGAGUUUUUAAAAAUCCUCUGGCUAAGUUAGAUUCCAGGAUGUGAAUGGCCUCCAAGCCUGAGCCCUGAGAAGACCCAGACCCGAACCUGAUUCCUGUUGUGUGUGUUUCUUUAUAUUAGGAAGUAUGAAGGUGUCUGAAUUUCCUUGGACAAUAGCUAAGCCCCCAGGGACGUGCUUUCCCCGCAGCUCCGCAGCAGCUGUACGAGGGUGCACCGGCCCUGACACCGCUGGGACAGACCUUGACCGACCCCACAACGUGCGGUUUCAAAGGGCUCGAGAAGGCGCCCGGGAUUUUACCUUCCAGAUUCCCAAUCUCUUUUUAACAUUGCCUAAAACAAGGGUGGGCAGUUGCAAUUUGCUCCUUUGCACGGUCACAAUUUUUUUUAGACUGGUUUUCCAACUAAAGGAGACAAGGGGUAGUAAAAUGGUUUUUCUUUUCUUUUUUUUUUUUCUUUUCAGUUCGCUUAAAAAUAAAACAAAACCGUUUAACCCGUAGAGUUUAUCCAGACAACAAACUAAGGCCGCCUGACCCAUCCAGUGUACCAUUUCCCCAAUGCAUUGGAUUUGGCCCUGGGGAAAACACCCCCGGAAGUAGUGGCACAUUUUCAAAGCCACCCCUAAGGGACCCUGGGUCCCGCGCUUCCUUUGAGCACACCAGCUGGUCCAGAAAGGAGGGCAGAAUAGGGAUGCGGAGGGAAGAAGUGCACCCCAAACUAGGGAGGAACCCGAGAGCUGGAGAAGUCCCCCAUAAUUCCCCAGUGAAUAGGCUGCUAGAAGUUCUAUUCUCUUCGCGGUUUUUUCUUUAUCUUUUUCCUUUCCUUUUCCUUCCGUCUGUCUCCUUUUUGAGGAGAUUUACUAAACUGAAACGAAAUUAUUUCUCCCCGGACUAUUUAGACUCGAGGAGGGGCCCCUCUGGAGUGAGCCUUCCGUCCUCAAGCCGCCCUCCUCGCCCUCGGAGAGGUGCUGGCUCCGAAAUGCGACCUGUCCCCAGGGCUGAUUUAUUUGGGCUGCGCCACACUACUAUUUGCGAUUCGAAUCCAGCCGGAAUCCGGCAGCCAAUUGGGCAGGGGGCGGAGGCUUUGCUGCCAAAUGCGAAGGGGUGUUUGGGAACCCAGUGGUGCUCUGUUUCCAGAGGAGCGCGAGACCCGGGUGAGGACCCGAGAAACGACACGCCUUUACCCGCCCCCCGAAACCUUAAGCUCAAUAAGUUGUCAGUUCACAAAGCUCCCGGCUGCUCCAGCGAGGUUUCGGAAAGAAAGAAUACAAUUUCUGAUUUAAAACGUAGUUUUAAAUUGAGAGUUUUAAAAAAGGUCUCUGGGGCCUUCUCGCCGUUACCGUAUUUCUUGCUGUCCCUGGGACGCUUUUGACGAAGGACACGGGUCGCCCCGGUGCCCCCACCCCAGCCAGCAUCCUGCCCCAAUAGUCGGGUUGGGGCGGCCUGUCCCCCGGACUCAGCGGCUGCCAAUCCAAUGCAAGCGCGUCCAGAGAGUCCAGGCGGUGUUUGGGAUGGGGGAGGGCGGGUUUGGGUGGGGGAGGGCGGGUUGUCUCUCUCUCUCUCUCUCUCUCUCUCUCUUUCUUUAAUUCUCGGUAGCCCAAAAACACUCUUUAGGAAAGUCAGGUGGUGGCGGCGGGAGCUCGAGAACUGCGCAGCCUAGAAAGCCGGGUCGCCCCCACCCCCCCGUCCGGCUCCCCGCCCCCUCGCCCCGCUGGUCACCAGGAGUUGGGAACUUGCCGCGCCAACGCCGGGCCAGGGCGGUCUGCACCGAGUCCCGGCGCGCGCGCGGCUGCUGCAGGCCCGGCCCGGCGGCCCCUCGCCCCGCAGCCCCGGGCCGCCCCCCGCGCACCGCCCCGGGCCGCCAGCGCGGCGCGGAGAGGUCACCGCGGUGGCAUUCCUCCCCGCGCGCUGUUUACGUGACUUAAUGUACUUCAUACGCCGCGGCUUGUUAUCUAGGCCACCCAUGACCGACGAAAGAUCUUCCCUCCCGGCUUCUCCCAAGGCCGCUUUAACCCAAAUAAAUUUGGCUAUUAAGGGCCAAGAUGCCUGACAAAAGAUCGAAAGGUGUCUAUCCGUGAUCGCUUAAAGAAGCGGAGGAAAAGCUUGUGGCUCUCUGAUCCCGAUAAAGACAUUCCACCCGGCGCCGGCCUCCCUUCCCGCGGCCUGGCUGCGCCCUGACACCCUGAGAUCGCGGCCUCACUGGCGCACACCUCCACGGGCCCGGUGGGACCUGUGUCCGCUGCACCGGGAAUGUGGAGGUCCCCAGGCUGCCUGGGUCCCGGGGUCCGUGGAACUCCAGGCCGGACGGAGCUGGGCUCCCAAAACAGACACCCUGCACUUGCCAGAAAAACUAAACCGAGCUCACUGGGGCCUGAAUUACCGUCCCGUUUUGAUUAUUUUCUGAUGUUGAAUAAUUCUACCUUCCCACCCCCCACUCCCUGGGGUUUUGCCGAAGGGCGAUGUUAUUCCAUAUCUCUGGUUGUCUGGAGCAGCCCUUCUUUGGAACCCCGGUCGGAACCGAUGGGUGGAACUGGACAGCUGAAUUAGACUGAGGCCAAUGCCGCGGGUGUGGACUCGCAAAUGAAGAGCGUGCAGGUGGGAGGCAGAGGUCCAAUCCCUCGGUCAUCCCCAGGUUGGGUUUGGUUAUGAAAUGCGAUGUUUAUUAUCAUUAUUAAUUACUAUUGGCAUAACUACACAAAGCCUAGGGCUGCCAGCUGGGCCAAGGCCCUGCCCCUGGGGUGAUCCUUUUCACUAAAGCGAGGCAGGACUAUCCACUUUCUUGAUCCAGGACUGAAGAGGGGGCUUGGGGAGUCAGGUGCCACGUUUUGGAGGUCUCCGCACUGAGCCAUUUCUUCUUCCCUUAAGUAGAUGUAGCAUUCCCCGGGACUCUAGUCUCACCUAAGCCUUUUCUGCCACUUUGCAACAUGGGUAGUUAAGAACCUUCAGGGGUGGCAGGUUAGAGAGACAGCGCUGGCUUCCCUGCAACGGGGAUUCAUUCCUCUUAGAUCUUCUGCUGUCCCCUUCUGUUCUAUGGUGAAGCUGGAGACAGGACUCUGAAUUCCAAAGGCAAUCUAACAUCUUCGGUUUCUGUCUGUCACCUCAUGCUGGGUCCCGGAAGUUAAAGAUGACUCCCUUUUCUCAUUGCCUUCCUCCAAAUAAGGUGAACUCCAAAGCCAUCCACCUCAUCUAAUCCUUCCCCCUCAUCCAGCCACCACUCCGGGGUGGGGGGUGGGGGGGAUAGGAAAAACCAGAGCAUCAGAAGGAAAGGGAUCAUUUCUGCUCCCCCAAAGGUGAAAGAGACAGAAAUUUCCAACACACUAGACAUGAAAGACCUGAAUUUUGCUGGUAUCACUAGAUGUGCAGAUAAUGCCAAUUCUAGGGUCAGAGUCCAGAUGCCACUGCCCCAGAGCUGUCUCAGCUCAGAGACCUUUCUGUUUCUCUUUUCUUGGUUGGGGGGGAGGGGGUAAUGUUGCCAAGAGGGAGCAGAAAAGGAGGUGAUAAGCUUUUGGAGAUUUGCUAAGUAACUAAUGCUCCUCCCUGAGUCAAUUAAAGGGGAGAGAAAUGCCCCCAAAAUAAAAAAUUACUGCAUUUGCCACCCAGAA